GUGGCGGCAGGCUUAACACAUGCAAGUCGAGCGCCCCGCAAGGGGAGCGGCAGACGGGUGAGUAACGCGUGGGAAUCUACCGAGCCCUGCGGAAUAGCUCCGGGAAACUGGAAUUAAUACCGCAUACGCCCUACGGGGGAAAGAUUUAUCGGGGUUUGAUGAGCCCGCGUUGGAUUAGCUAGUUGGUGGGGUAAAGGCCUACCAAGGCGACGAUCCAUAGCUGGUCUGAGAGGAUGAUCAGCCACAUUGGGACUGAGACACGGCCCAAACUCCUACGGGAGGCAGCAGUGGGGAAUAUUGGACAAUGGGCGCAAGCCUGAUCCAGCCAUGCCGCGUGAGUGAUGAAGGCCCUAGGGUUGUAAAGCUCUUUCAACGGUGAAGAUAAUGACGGUAACCGUAGAAGAAGCCCCGGCUAACUUCGUGCCAGCAGCCGCGGUAAUACGAAGGGGGCUAGCGUUGUUCGGAAUUACUGGGCGUAAAGCGCACGUA
rnacentral:rRNA from 1 species